rnacentral:rRNA from 1 species
CCUCAGUUCGGACUGGGGUCUGCAACCCGACCCCCACGAAGCUGGAUUCGCUAGUAAUCGCGCAUCAGCCAUGGCGCGGUGAAUACGUUCCCGGGCCUUGUACGCACCGCCCGUCAAGCCAUGAAAGCCGGGGGCGCCUGAAGUCCGUGACCGCGAGGGUCGGCCUAGGGUGAAACCGGUGAUUGGGGCUAAGUCGUAACAAGGUAUC